UGCGCAUGUGCAUUAGGAAAGCAGGGAGGGGGAAAAAAUGGGCGUUGGGCGUUUUCUGGUGUAUAGGCUGCGCGAGAAAUAUCACAGAGAGGGAUUGAAGGGAGCGGCAACGCGUUGUUUCGUCUCAUUCCGUGCGGUGUCGCGCGACAGCGUGUGGGGAACUCAAAGGUUCCGUCUUUAAAUGAGGAAAUGACCGCCGGCUGCGACUUGAGUAGGAAGAAAAAAAUGGCUACCGCAACUUAUUGAGCUUGGGCACCCGCGAUAAAAGACCCACUCCGUUCGUAUGCGUAUGCGGCUGGCGAAAUCCCGCAAGAUCUCCAAGAGGCAGCGGGUCUCGGACGGAGUUGUAAUGGCGGUGGUUCUGAAGGCACCAAGGCGGGUGUGGCGUGCGCCGCUGUUAGGGGUUCGCUCGGUGGUGACCAGUUGCUGUAGCAUGACGGCAUCUAGCAGCUCCCAGCAGAAGCCCAUUCCUCCACCAGCCAAGUAUGGGGGCCGCCACAUGGUGACCAUGAUCCCAGGUGAUGGCAUCGGCCCAGAGCUCAUGUUGCAUGUCAAAGAGGUGUUCAGACACGCAUGUGUUCCGGUGGACUUUGAGGAGGUUCGCGUGAGCUCAGAGGCACCUGAGGAUGACAUGGAGAACGCCAUCAUGGCCAUUCGCCGGAAUGGCGUCGCCCUCAAAGGAAACAUCGAGACCAACCACUACCUGCCACCAUCCCAUAAAUCCCGUAACCACAUCAUCCGCACCAGCCUGGAUCUCUAUGCCAAUGUGAUCCACUGCCAGAGCCUGCCUGGAGUGGAGACACGGCACCAAGACAUUGACAUUCUCAUUGUGCGGGAGAACACGGAGGGCGAGUACAGCAGCCUAGAGCACGAGGCAGGAAAAGAACCCAUGUGUCCUGACCCUGCCCCCACAUUGGCACAGAGUGUGGCAGGCGUGGUAGAGAGCCUGAAGAUCAUCACAGCAGAACGAUCGCAGCGCAUUGCGGAUUAUGCCUUCCGCCUGGCCAACGCCACUGGGCGCCGCAAGGUCACAGCUGUGCACAAAGCCAACAUCAUGAAGCUGGGGGAUGGGCUCUUCUUGCAGUGCUGCCGGGAGGUGGCAGCCGCUUACCCCAACAUUGCCUUUGAGAGCAUGAUUGUGGACAACACUACCAUGCAGCUGGUGUCCUGCCCCCAGCAGUUUGAUGUCAUGGUGAUGCCUAAUCUCUAUGGCAACAUUGUCAACAAUGUCUGUGCUGGGCUGGUUGGCGGCCCUGGGCUGGUGCCUGGUGCCAACUAUGGGCGCGAUUAUGCUGUGUUUGAGACGGCCACCCGCAACACAGGCAAGAGCAUUGCUCACAAGAAUGUUGCCAACCCUACAGCCACACUCCUGGCCAGCUGCAUGAUGCUCGACCACCUCAACCCAGUAUGGUCAGCUUGCAGUGGACAGGACUUGACUGACAUUUGCUGGGCCUAAGCAGGCUCCACCCCAGUGAAGUGGAUGGGGCUUGAGUCACUUUGGUUCCACCCCUUUAAGUCUUUGCAGCUGGGACAACACAGCCCAGCUCCACCCACUGAGGAGGGUGAAGUGGCUCUACCACCACAGACAAGAUUGUGGUGUGGGUGGGGCCAGCAUGUAGUGGGUGGGGCUUGCCUCACUCUGACUUUGGCCCCCCAGGCUCCAUAGCUAUGCCUCUGCCAUCCGCCAGGCUGUCCUUGCCUCCCUGGACAAUGAGAGU